UACGUAGGGCGCAAGCGUUGUCCGGAAUUAUUGGGCGUAAAGAGCUCGUAGGCGGCUUGUCGCGUCGGUUGUGAAAGCCCGAGGCUUAACCCCGGGUCUGCAGUCGAUACGGGCAGGCUAGAGUUCGGUAGGGGAGAUCGGAAUUCCUGGUGUAGCGGUGAAAUGACGCAGAUAUCAGGAGGAACACCGGUGGCGAAGGCGGAUCUCUGGGCCGAUACUGACGCUGAGGAGCGAAAGCGUGGGGAGCGAACAGG
rnacentral:rRNA from 1 species